CUGUGGCGGCGGCGGCGGCGGGUCGGUGUAGAAAAUGGCGGCUGUGCAGCGGGCUGGGCCUGUCCCCUCAGUACCGCGGACGGACUGAGGCCUCUCUGCGCCUUUCUCCCUUAUCCCCCACCUCCUCCCCGUGCACUUUACACACAUGAGAGAAUUGGAAGCUAAAGCUACCAAAGAAGUCGAAAGGAAACUAAGCAGGGGCAAAGGAGAGGUCUGAAGUGCAUUUUAGAAAAAUUGAAGAUGAAGAUAUCUUUCAGCUGGUAUAAUGGAGCAGGAGAAGGUGUUAUGAAGGAGAGAAAUGCCUGUAUAACAGUUUGAAAGAUGAGAAGGACUUACUUCAACACAGACAUAGAUGAAGAAGGAUUAUAUGGGAAAGGUCAGGAUAAAAAAACAGGUAACUAUUAGUGGUCCAAUUUGAUUGGAAUAUAAAGUAUGUGAAAAAGAAUAUUAGGGAGAAGUAGUAAUCUGAGCUAGGAAAAUCUGCAGCUAUAAGUGAGAAAAAUGGAAAAGAUAUGAGAGAUUUGGGGGAUAAGAAUCAAUAGGGUUUCAUAAUUAUCAGAAGGGGAUUUUGCAGGAAGGUACAGAGUCAAAGAUGACUUUGAGAUUUCAAGCUUAGGGUAUUGGUGGGAGGGAAGAUAGCAAAUUGAAUUGAUAAAAAUAAUCAAAUUUUUUCAGUUAAUUUUGUAUACUGAGUUGUUUUUUUUUUUAAAAGCAGAGUAUAGCAGUAAAUAGGUUUGAGGAAAGGUAUAUUUUGUGUUUUUAUUUCACCCAAAUUUUAAAAUAAAUAGACAUUAUAAAAACAAAACAUGAAAAAUAAAGGAAAAAACAAUACAUAAAAAACAAAAUUAACAUAUGCCAAACAUCAGUAAACAAUAGUUUGCUUUUUAGCCAUUUUCUCAGCUCUUAAAAGUUCUUCCCUUCACAUUUUUCCCCCCCGGUAUAAUUGCCAUAUUUAUGACAAAAUCUGUAAUAGUGCUGAGAUAGCUCUCUCUCCCCUGCUCCACCCAGUUGGUCUGGGGUUAGUUAUGUCUUUGAUAUCAUUAGUACUGUUUUAGUAACCAAGACCAUGU